ncrna:unclassified sequences L31-Firmicutes ribosomal protein leader
CUCUGUUCCAGAUGGUCCAGGGCAAAGGAG